GUUGUACUUGGGCAGUAGUGUAGAGAUUGGUUUGCCUGUUAAUGAAUUCAAACUAAUCUCUACACUGCUGCCCAAGAACAUC
rfam:Pan troglodytes isolate Yerkes chimp pedigree #C0471 (Clint) chromosome 2B, whole genome shotgun sequence.